rnacentral:rRNA from 1 species
AUGACCAUCUUCCACAUGUCAGACGAAUGCGAAAAGCCAGGGGAUUUUUUCAGUUACCCCCUGGUUGCGUUAAUGAACCGCCCAUCAAAGAGACGGGGAUUUAGAUCCAAUUCACACCAUCUUCCCUCCGUGAGAUUUCAUCAGAGUGCCUUCGACAGAGAUCCAUUCCACCAUGGCCGGUCGGUGCAGCUCCUCCUCUCGCCCCUCCAGCGCUCGGCCCGGAGAUUGGGGCGGUGUUCCGUCCCGCAUAGCGAGCUAGUAGUGCUUCAGUCCAAGGGGCUUCUCCCCCCAGCAUAUAUGGUCCCAGUUCGAGCCAGGAUUGCUACCUAUAGCGGCGGAGAGCAGGUGGAGAGCGUCCCCCAUCCCUCUCGAGGAGAGCGGGUAUGCCUAGUCCCUUAUUUAAUGAGAGGACUCGGAUUUCCAAUUCAUCCGUUUCUUCGAGGGUUGCUGGAGUUCUACGGCCUCCAGCUACACAACCUCACGCCCGCCUCCAUUCUGCACAUAGCGGGCUUCAUGGCCCUCUGCGAGCUGUUCUUGGGUGUUGAGGCCCAUUUCGCGUUGUGGAAGAGGUUGGUUUGCCUUGUGCCUCGUUCUCAGGAGGGGUCUAUUUAUCAAGUGGGCGGAGCCGAACUAUGGCGCAUCGCCGGGACCGGAUAUCUAUCCGGCACCCCAAAGAGGGCGUCCGAAGACUGA